AACUGGUCUGGAUGAAAAUAGAAUCACGUUGUGCGACAGUUUAUUCCUUUAAAGUGCGGUAAGGCGGUCUUUGGCAGCCCACAUGGGAUUUGUUUUGAUGUUGGACCCUGGUACAGUACAUUCUAAAAGUACAAUUACCAAAAACACCAAAUAAUGGGAACAAGAGCAAAAAAGUUCGUGGCCCUCUGUGGAACACCUUUUGGACAGCCCUGCUUCAAGUCGAUUCAGGAACUGUUGGGAAACUUGACCAGGGUCUCUUAGAGAAUGAUCAGCAGCAGAUCCUGUUUAGCCACCAUGGCUCCGGCCACACUAGGCUUGGGUGCACUUUGUGAACGGGCUCCAUGUUUGGGGCUCCCCCUGGACCCGGUUCUUGCUUUACACCCAAGGACAGUGGGUGCUGCGGUACCUAACUCAGUGUUGGUGGAAUCUGAGACAGCCACUGGCGUAACCGGACUUACCAGAUCUGGCGGUGGAGUCUGUUUGCUCUGGUUGUUGUUUCCUGCUGCAGGUGGAGCCGCUGUGGAUCUUGCUGGUCUCGGCUUAAACUGAUGCAUCAUGGGAUUCUGCGGUAUUGAUGCAACGGCCUGUAUCUCAACAAAAAAAACAACAUUUUGGCCGAGUAAUAAAAAUAGGAGAAAAUACAAGAUGCCCAGAGAGAUAUAUAUAUAGAAAACAUUCCAGUUCAGCGGACACAUCCUCUAAUUCUCUCAUCAGCAGCUGCAAAAGGGAAAAAGUCAACAUCAGAUUAAAGAGCCAAGGCUGACCCAGUGUGCCAGAGUGCACGUGGGGGCGUGCACGUGCGCCGACAAAAGCUCCCUCUAACCUACAUUUGAGUCCGACGGCAGGCAGCAGUGUGGAGGUCAGAUGAAGGAAAAUACGUGCAGCUGGAUCAGGAGGGGAUGAUCAUGCAGCUGAGCAGUAUAAUUGAGCAACAAAAACAAGGCAUAUGUUGGGGUUUUUUGUCAUCUAAAGUUGAUACAAAAUGCUGAUGUAGUGCAUUGACCUGAUCAUUGGAAUUUACAACAAGAACAUUCAUGCAAAGAUACAAUAAAAUGUUUUGCCGUGUCCUAUUGAUAUAAUCCAGCUGUUACAUCCUGUAUAUGCCAGUAUUACAAACGUAAUAAUCAACAGAAGUUGACAUACACAUCACGGGCAUCCAUGUCGAGUUGGGAUUUCUGUCUAUGGUUUCAUUCAAGUCCUCAACUGACUCGGUAUCUGGAAUCCUUUCCUCCAGACU